rnacentral:rRNA from 1 species
UACGAAGGGUGCAAGCGUUAAUCGGAAUUACUGGGCGUAAAGGGCGCGCAGGCGGGCCAUCAAGUCGGAUGUGAAACCGGUCGGCUUAACCGACCGCCUGCAUCCGAUACUGUUGGUCUUGAGUACGGGAGAGGAGAGUGGAAUUCCAGGUGUAGCGGUGAAAUGCGUAGAUAUAGGAAGGAACACCAGUGGCGAAGGCGACUACCUGGACUGAUACUGACACUGAGGUGCGAAAGCGUGGGGAGCAAACAGGAUUAGAAACCCCUGUAGU